UGCAGUUUUACUCCACAACGCCAUCCCCUUUGUUGGAUUUGGCUUUCUGGAUAAUGCCAUCAUGAUUGCAGCAGGAACUCAAAUCGAACUCUCCAUCGGAGUCACUCUGGGGAUCUCCACCAUGGCUGCGGCGGCUCUGGGGAACCUGGUUUCAGAUCUGGCGGGGCUCGGGUAAGCAGCAUCUUUACAAACGGCCUCUGAGGCUUUUCGGUUUAUUCUGGG